GUCUACGGCCAUACCCCCUGAACGUACCUGAUCUCGUCUGAUAUUGGAAGCUAAGCAGGGUCGGGCCUGGUUAAUACUUGGAUGGGAGAAAUGAGGAGGUGUUGAUC
rnacentral:rRNA from 1 species